UACUCACUACCCCCACCCACCCCGCGCCAUGUCCCGGCCUCGACCAGGCCUUGUCUACCCCUCCUCCGCUACACUCUCCGAGCCUUACCUCUCGGUCCUCCGCUGUUAAAUCGUGUCUGCUCGCCUCCUGUACAACCCGUGUCGCCAUGAUGUGACGGAAGUGAAUUGGCCCGAGGAAGGAAGGAGGGAGGGAUUGAGAACAGCCCCGGAGAAACCUGAAUUGAUGUUUAAUCCAGCCGUCAGUAACUACAAUGAACGAGAUGAACGCACCUUGCCUGAAUAUAGUUCAGAAUCUAUGACGCCAAGCCUUGGAGCAAACAUAAUUAUAUCAAUUAAACAUAGUUGAAUAGGUAAGUCCAUCAGAUUGCAUAAUUUUACAUCUGCAUGUCAGGAACCUUCCAGAUGGACACAUGCCUGGACCACCAAGUAAAACUGCCCAGUCUUUCAGUUUUUGAUUAAAUCAGGAAUCAGAUUAUCAGUUGCAAGUGGUAUCCAAUUCUUGCACUAUGGAUUUACCCGAUGAUCAGUGUAAUCAGCACAUAGAGUGCAUUACCUACAGAACAGAAGAAAGAAAAGCUGGAAUCAUUAAAUAAACUGCUGGAUACACUGAAGACUGUCAGUUUGUGCCGGUCAGCUGAGCUAAAGAAAAUGGACUAAACAGUCACCCUCAUCAUCUUCUGGCUUUGUGAUUUUAUAAUAAACAAUAGCGGCUGUGAAAGCUGUCAACAAUGGAAAAA